CCUUUAUUUUCUUUCCUCUCCUCAGGUUGGAGUGGUAACGCUGUGAACAUGUCGGGAGACUUGUCAAAUCUGGAGACAUUUCUACUAAAGCCUCUCAUGUCUAUGACCUUUCAGGUUUCCAGGCACAGCAGGUUUUCUUGAGCCUUGUGAGUGUUACCACUCAGUAGCCACUACCUACAUCCUCUUGGUGCUUGGCUCUGUGAGCUCCAUUUGUCUCUCUGGAAAACACCACACUUUCAGAGAGCAGAGGAUUUUCCAGAAUUCACCAUAUAGCUGAUGUCUAGAUCUUGCAAACUUUUUUUCCACCUCUUCUAAAAUGUUCUCUGAACUUGGGGCUAGCGAAGGUGUUACAUCAUUGCUCUUUUAGGGCUAAGCAGUCCAUAGUCACUUAAGCUGUGCACCUUGACCAGUUGGUUGUGGCUCUAUGUGUCAAGACCUCCCGCUGCAGUUGUAAGUGCCACCAACUGGUGAGUAAACAUUCAAAUGCCAAGAACAUAAGGACAUUUCUCAUUCAAGCCACCAUACUCACAUGCCAGCUCUGUGCUGAUUGAAGGUGUGACUUAAACACUGGGAAGAACUUCAAGAUGGCAGCAAUAGAGCAUUUCAACCCUGUCCCAUCUGAGCCACAGCCCUUCUGAGUCCCACACCAUGAAGCUAGCUCUGCUUUAUCAUCUGUGAAGAGAACUGCUUUACUUUUGUAUUGAAGAACUUUAUUUGUCUAGAACCUACAGUUAUGUAAAAUGUUGAAUAGGUUUUUUCUU
rnacentral:lncRNA from 1 species